ACUAUAGCAAGGAGGUCACACCUGUUCCCAUGCCGAACACAGAAGUUAAGCUCCUUAGCGUCGAUGGUAGUCG
rnacentral:rRNA from 7 species